rnacentral:snoRNA from 16 species
GUCGAUGACGAAACCGGCACUAUCUGAAUGAUGAUGAGCACUCGGUUGUCUGAGAC